CAGCCGCCACGGUAAUACAGAGGGUGCGAGCGUUAAUCGGAUUUACUGGGCGUAAAGCGUGCGUAGGCGGUUAUAUAAGACAGAUGUGAAAUCCCCGGGCUCAACCUGGGAACUGCAUUUGUGACUGUAUAGCUAGAGUACGGCAGAGGGGGAUGGAAUUCCGCGUGUAGCAGUGAAAUGCGUAGAUAUGCGGAGGAACACCGAUGGCGAAGGCAAUCCCCUGGGCCUGUACUGACGCUCAUGCACGAAAGCGUGGGGAGCAAACAGGAUUAGAUACCCCUGUAGUCCCUGUCUCUUAUAC
rnacentral:rRNA from 1 species